GAUAUUUGCCUUCUCUAGUAACCACUACACAGCUGACGUCCUGCUUCCCAGGAUCUGGCUGGGCAUUGCCUGCUGAUGAGAGCUGCAUUACAGAUGCUUUUGCCAUAAAAGAAGAACAACAAGAAAGGGACUGAAAACCCAUCAGUGAAGUUUACACUGUGAAAUAAGUAGUCCCCAG